rnacentral:rRNA from 1 species
AGCGAACGCUGGCGGCAUGCUUAACACAUGCAAGUCGCACGGGCAGGGCAACCUGUCAGUGGCGGACGGGUGAGUAACGCGUAGGUAUCUAUCCUUGGGUGGGGGACGAACGGUUGGAACGACUGCUAAUACCGCAUGAUAACUGAGGUUUAAAGGUACGCAAGUCGCCUGAGGAGGAGCCUGCGUACGAUUAGCUAGUUGGUGGGGUAAAGGGCCUACCAAGGCUAUGAUCGUUAGCUGGUCUGAGAGGAUGAUCAGCCACAUUGGGACGUGAGACACGGCCCAAACUCCUACGGGAGGCAGCAGUGGGGAAGUAAUUGGACAAUGGGCGGAAAGCCUGAUCCAGCAAUGCCGCGUGUGUGAAG